GCCGUAUUAGCUAGUUGGUAAGGUAACGGCUUACCAAGGCGAACGAUACGUAGCCGACCUGAGAGGGUGAUCGGCCACACUGGAACUGAGACACGGUCCAGACUCCUACGGGAGGCAGCAGUAGGGAAUCUUCCGCAAUGGGCGAAAGCCUGACGGAGCAACGCCGCGUGAGUGAUGAAGGGUUUCGGCUCGUAAAACUCUGUUAUUAGGGAAGAACAAACGUGUAAGUAACUGUGCACGUCUUGACGGUACCUAAUCAGAAAGCCACGGCUAACUACGUGCCAGCAGCCGCGGUAAUACGUAGGUGGCAAGCGUUAUCCGGAAUUAUUGGGCGUAAAGCGCGCGUAGGCGGUUUCUUAAGUCUGAUGUGAAAGCCCACGGCUCAACCGUGGAGGGUCAUUGGAAACUGGGAAACUUGAGUGCAGAAGAGGAAAGUGGAAUUCCAUGUGUAGCGGUGAAAUGCGCAGAGAUAUGGAGGAACACCAGUGGCGAAGGCGACUUUCUGGUCUGUAACUGACGCUGAUGUGCGAAAGCGUGGGGAUCAAACAGGAUUAGAUACCCUGGUAGUCCACGCCGUAAACGAUGAGUGCUAAGUGUUAGGGGGUUUCCGCCCCUUAGUGCUGCAGCUAACGCAUUAAGCACUCCGC
rnacentral:rRNA from 1 species